rnacentral:rRNA from 1 species
GAUGAACGCUGGCGGCGUGCUUAACACAUGCAAGUCGAACGGAAAGGCCCUGCUUGCCGGGUGCUCGAGUGGCGAACGGGUGAGUAACACGUGGGUGAUCUGCCCUGUACUUUGGGAUAAGCCUGGUAAACUGGGUCUAAUCCCGAUCAUGACCCUUGUUUGGCUGCGAUUGUGGAAAGCUUUUGCGGUAUGGGAUGAGCUCGCGGCCUAUCAGCGUGUUGGUGGGGUAAUGGCCUACCAAGGCGUCGACGGGUGGCCGUCCUGAGAGGGUGUCCGGCCACAUUGGGACUGAGAUACGGCCCAGACUCCGACGGGAGGCAGCAGUGGGGAAUAUUGCACAAUGGGGGCAAGCCUGAGGCAGCGACGCCGCGUGGGGGAUGACGGCCUUCGGGUUGUAAACUCCUUUCGCAACCGACGAAGCCUUUUGGUGACGGUAGGUGGAGAAGAAGCACCGGCUAACUACGUG